rnacentral:rRNA from 1 species
ACGAACGCUGGCGGCGUGCUUAACACAUGCAAGUCGAACGGUGAAGCGCCUUCCUUUUUGGUGGGUGUGGAUGAGUGGCGAACGGGUGAGUAACACGUGAGUAACCUGCCCCCUUCUUCUGGAUAACCGCAUGAAAGUGUGGCUAAUACGGGAUAUUCUGGGUCUGUCGCAUGAUGGGUCUGGGAAAGAUAUUGUUUCGGUGGGGGAUGGGCUCGCGGCCUAUCAGCUUGUUGGUGGGGUGAUGGCCUACCAAGGCGGUGACGGGUAGCCGGCCUGGGAGGGUGGACGGUCACACUGGGACUGAGACACGGCCCAGACUCCUACGGGAGGCAGCAGUGGGGAAUAGUGCACAAUGGGCGCAAGGCUGAUGCAGCGACGCCGCGUGAGGGAUGGAGGCCUUCGGGUUGUGAACCUCUUUCGCCAGUGAAGCAGGCCUGCCUCGUUUGUGGGUGGGUUGACGGUAGCUGGAUAAGAAGCGCCGGCUAACUACGUG